rnacentral:rRNA from 1 species
UACGUGGAGUGGCAAGCGUUGUCCGGAAUUAUUGGGCGUAAAGCGCGCGCAGGCGGUCCUUUAAGUCUGAUGUGAAAGCCCACGGCUCAACCGUGGAGGGUCAUUGGAAACUGGGGGGACUUGAGUACAGAAGAGGAAAGCGGAAUUCCACGUGUAGCGGUGAAAUGCGUAGAGAUGUGGAGGAACACCAGUGGCGAAGGCGGCUUUCUGGUCUGUAACUGACGCUGAGGCGCGAAAGCGUGGGGGAGCAAACAGG